rnacentral:rRNA from 1 species
CCUACGUGAUGCAGCAGUGAGGAAUAUUGGUCAAUGGGCGCGAGCCUGAACCAGCCAAGUAGCGUGAAGGAUGACUGCCCUACGGGUUGUAAACUUCUUUUAUAAAGGAAUAAAGUGAGGCACGUGUGCCUUUUUGUAUGUACUUUAUGAAUAUGGAUCGGCUAACUCCGUGCCAGCAGCCGCGGUAAUACGGAGGAUGCGAGCGUUAUCCGGCUUUAUUGGGUUUAAAGGGUGCGUAGGUUGUUUUUUAAGUCAGCGGUGAAAGUUUGUGGCUCAACCAUAAAAUUGCCGUUGAAACUGGAAGACUUGAGUGUGUUUGAGGUAGGCGGAAGGCGUGGUGUAGCGGUGAAAUGCAUAGAUAUCACGCAGAACUCCGAUUGCGAAGGCAGCUUACUAAGCCAUAACUGACACUGAAGCACGAAAGCGUGGGGAUCAAACAGGAUUAGAUACCCGAGUAGUC